rnacentral:rRNA from 1 species
CCUGUUUAUCAAAAACAUGGCCUUUUGAUUUAUGUGUAAUAUAAAAGGUUGGACCUGCCCAGUGGUUUAUCUAAAUGGCUGCAGUGAAUAACUGUACAAAGGUAGCGAAAUCAGUUGUCCUUUAAAUGGGGGAAGGUAUGAAAGGUUUGACGGUAAAGAAGCUGUCUCUUAAAAAUAGUGUGAAGUUUCCGUCUAAGUGAAAAGGCUUAGAUUUUUUAAAAAGACGAGAAGACCCUAUUGAGCUUAAUUAUAUUUUUUUUAUUAAGAAAGUUGAAGUUUUAUUGGGGCAAUAGGAAGCUAUAAGUAAUGCUUCUUUUUAAGGUAAGGAUCCUCCAUGGGAGAAGUAAGCAAAAGUUACCAUAGGGAUAACAGCGUUAUCUUUCUUAAGAGUUCUAAUUGAGGGAAAGGUUUGCGACCUCGAUGUUGGAUUAAGAUGUCUUUUUGGUGCAGCAGCUAAAAAAGUAAGACUGUUCGUCUUUUAAAAUUUUACGUGAUCUGAGUUCAGAC